AAAGUCGUAACAAGGUUUCCGUAGGUGAACCUGCGGAAGGAUCAUUAUUCUUCUCUAUCGGGAGGUCGUAGUUGGAGAACAGGAAACUCUCUCCUUCUCGCCCUAUCUGAUUUUACCCAUGAUUUUUGUGUACCUUAUGUUUCCUUGACAGGUUCGCCUGUCAGAGGACCCUUUAAACCCAUUGCAAUUGCAGUCAGCGUCAGAUAAACUUAAUAGUUACAACUUUCAACAACGGAUCUCUUGGUUCUG
rnacentral:misc_RNA from 1 species